AAGUGGAAUUCCCGGUGUAGCGGUGAAAUGCGUAGAUAUCGGGAGGAACACCAGCGGUGAAGACGGCUUCCUAACAUAUUCCUGACGCUCAUACACGAAAGCUAAGGGAGCAAACAGGAUUAGAUACUCUGGUAGUCUUAGCUGUAAACGUUGGAUACUAGGUGUUGGGAGAGUAACUCUCUCAGUGCCGAAGCUAACGCGUUAAGUAUCCCACCUGGGGAGUACGAUCGCAAGGUUGAAACUCAAAGGAAUUGACGGGGGCCCGCACAAGCAGCGAGGUAUGUGGUUUAAUUCGAGGCUACACGAAGAACCUUACCUGGGCUUGACAUGUAAGUGAAAGGGUUAAGAAACUAACUCUCUCUUAUGUAGCAAUACAUAAGACACUUACACAGGUGGUGCAUGGUUGUCGUCAGCUCGUGCCGUGAGGUGUAAGGUUAAGUCCUUGAACGAGCGCAACCCUCCCUGUUAUUUGCUAUAAGUUCUUAUGAGCUUAGCACUAUAACAGUACCGCUACCGACAAGGUAGAGGAAGGCGAGGAUGACGUCAAAUCAUCACGCCCCUUAUGUCCAGGGCUACACACAUGCGACAAUGGUUGGUACAGAGGGAAGCAAUAGAGUAAUCUGGAGCAAAUCCCCAAAAACCAGCCCCAGUACAGAUCGAGGGUUGAAACCCACCCUCGUGAAGAUGGAGUUGCUAGUAAACGCAGGUCAGCUACACUGCGUUGAAUAUGUUCCCGGGCCUUGUACACACCGCCCGUCACACCACCCGAGUUGGAUGCACCCGAAGAUACAAAACCCAACCGUAAGGAGGGCUGUAUUGAAGGUGUGUUCAAUAAGGAGGGUGAAGUCGUAACAAGGCAGGUGUACGAGAACGUGCGCCUG
rnacentral:rRNA from 1 species